rnacentral:tRNA from 1 species
GGCUCGGUGUGAUGUUGGUUUUACAGUCAGGCCCUCAACCUGACCGACGCGGGUUCGAUUCCCGUCCGAGUCA